rnacentral:piRNA from 1 species
UACCGGUACAGAGAGUGUAGA